AUUUCUAAUCUUUAAUCCCUAAUCCCUAACAAAACUAACCCUAAUCCCUAAUUCUUAAUCCCUAAUCCCUAAUUAGCUAUACUAACAAAACUAACCCUAAUCCCCUCAUUUAUUUUUCCACUUUGCUAGAGUCACACUUCCCUCUCUCCGUCGGCACCUCUCUCCCCCGAUUCCCUUCCCAUAAUUCCCAGUCAACGCCUCUCUCCCCCCACUUCACUGGAGACAACCCUUGCCUCUCCACAAUCGGCGUCGGCGACAUUUCCUUUGACUGGAACUCUCUUCAGGAUUUUCUUUUCCUUCACUUCAACUACUGUUGUCGACAUCUUUUGUUUUUCCACGAUUUUGAGUGCCCAUUUCUUGAAAAGAUCCUACUCGACCUUUUGCUACUCUUUCUCUGGCCCGUUGACUUAAUUUACUGUUCCAACUAUGGUUGAAUCUGUGUCAAUUUUGGGAAAUUCUGCACCAAUUGAAAAUGGUGUUUGUAACG